GGGACAUGAACUCCUAUUUCCUUAUUUCUUCUUGGAAAAAAAAUUGUUUCUUCUUGUCCAUAUCUGAGCGAAGAUUCGAUCACCAAUGUUUAUUUAAUCUGGACGAGUCAAAUAUUUCUUCAGUGCAGCACCAUGGACGGGGCUUAUGCAUUAAGAGAUCUACCUAAUCACAUAGAUGAUCCUAAAUCCAAGGUACAGAUCGGUCGAAAAACUUAUGAUGUGGCUGACUAUAUAAGAGACGGAAAAGAUAGGGAAAGUCUAAUAGCCGCAGCAGUUGCAGCGUUAAAACCAUACAAGGUAGCAAUUAAGGAAAACAAUAUUUGAAUAUUCGAAUUAAAUGUUAAUUGAAGCUUGUACGCAGUGAGAUAUCUAACUUAAACCAGAACUGCUUUCAAAGAAAGGAAUGAUGUAAAGGAAGCCGCUAAACUGCUGAAGAGAUACAAGGUCCCAUCGGACGGUGAUACAAGUACCGAUAAAGACGAUUUCACCUAUACUUUUAAACAUGUGUUGGCAAGCAAGAGCAAGACACCAGGAAAUGGAAGCAAUCAACCUCCGGCAGGUAAUGGACAAAGACAUGGAAGUGGUCAACCUCUACUGCUCCAACUACUUGUACUAGCAAUUGAGCAACGAAAGACUAUACUUAUUGUUGCCCUUAUCGCUGUCUUCGGUUAUCUUUUAUCUAAGGAGAGUUCAUCUUCUAAAUAAAAAACCAAGCCGUCUUCUAUCAAUUUACCAUGAAUUUGUAAAACUUCAUCUUUAAGCCCAUCGGGGAAGGGGUCUCUAGGCCGAAUCUUGGCUCCAUAAAAAAUUGUUAGCCCCCUUGUGUGUGUGUAUCUGUUAAUUGCAGUUUGUGACAGACUGACAGUCACUUAUGUGGUUCUAAGAGAGUCUUCCAUUUGACAGUCA